rnacentral:tRNA from 1 species
CCCGUUAUUGAGACUACAGCUCAUUG